CCACCAUGCAGCGGUUAACUCGUGGAUUAUGGGGCCAUGGACCGGUCCUUAAGGAGAGAAGGAAGAUGAGGGAGAGAGAAGGAAGGAGAGGAGGGAGAAGGAGAGAGGAAAGAUGAGAGUUUGCCACAAAAAUCUUGCUGACUGUACAGAUCUGAGGAUGAAGAGAACAAGAAGAAUUUAGCUGAAGGGGUGAAGAAAAUCAAGGCUGAGGUGAGCAUCAUGAACAUGAGCAGGCGAGUGGAUGAUACAGAGAGCUCCUCAAACGGGGAAGUAGCAUUGUUGGAGGAACUCGAAGAUGAGAAGGUUCCGAAGUCAUGCCUUUGCCUUACUGUUGUGCUGAUACUAGAUGCAACAUUAUGGACCUCUGGUUCGAGCAUGGCCAGCAUGGCCACGGAUUGUAGGGGAGGAAUGUAUUGCCUAAUGAGUUGUAUGCUUUUCUUCAGAUCCUUUGUGCUCCCUAUCACAUCUGGCUUGGCCACCUACGGAUUCUUGGGUCCAGGUGAGCUCUCCUUCCACUCUACAAGUUUUGCUUGCUCUUUCUGGGCUAUUUGUGAAGGCUAUCCCCUUUCCUAAGUCUCUUAUUUUAUUAUGGAUCAUGGAAGUGGGGAGUGUAACUCACAUUUUUAUAACACCGAUACUUUAGGUAUAUAUACUUUGGUUUUCUGAAAGUGGAUUGCAUUUGCUUCCUAAUCACAUUGAAACAAGAGUGGAAAUAACCAUCAUCCGCUGACCGUUCUUCCUCCCUCAGGUUCCUGAUCUGAAGCGGAGGAACACGAGGUCGCAUCCAUUAAGUGGCAAAAGGGGUUUGCAACGAUUUUCUUCAGUCUGACAAUCAUAUAGUAAUUAGACGGUGUAGUACUAUGGCGGUGGUAUACUAAUUUGGUGUAAGAAUCACUAACAUGAGUUUGCGUGUACAAAUCUUACAGACUUGCUGUUUUUUGUUCAGUUGAAGGGCCCUCCAGGCUUAAGAUCUUUCGAGGAUAAUUGUGUCAUUGAAUCUGAAGGUAUAUGAUUGGUUUCUCAACUCAUGUAUCGAUAAGCAUUUUUUUCAUCCUCAAUAUAUUGUUACU